UCUAGGAAUGUGGAGCUCUGCCCCCAGUGC
rnacentral:piRNA from 1 species